rnacentral:misc_RNA from 1 species
UUUUAAUUAAAUAAAAAUUAUAUUUUAACUCCUGAUGUUGUGAGCUUUGCAUGUGUACUUUUGUUUCAAAUAAAUUUCACCGGUGACUAAGACUGUAAUUUUAGGCCAGACACACGGGUUGCCGGAUCCACUUCAAAAGUAUGUCAAUAUUACAAUGCUUCUCACCAUUUUUAAAUGCCUCGAAUGAGUUCCAAGUGUCAGAAUUAUUGUAGGUAAAUAUCCCAACUCCAAAUUCUCCUUUUUACCUAAUGUUGAGUUUAAAAUAAAAAUUCAUAAAAUAUUCGU